UACGGAGGGUGCGAGCGUUGUCCGGAAUCACUGGGCGUAAAGGGCGCGUAGGUGGCGCGGGCAGUCAACGGUGAAAGUUCGGGGCUCAACCCUGAAUCGGCCGUCGAUACUCCCGUGCUUGAGCACUGUAGAGGCAGAUGGAAUUCCGGGUGUAGCGGUGGAAUGCGUAGAGAUCGGAAAGAACACCAACGGCGAAAGCACUCUGCUGGGCCGACACUGACACUGAGAGACGAAAGCUAGGGGAGCGAAUGGG
rnacentral:rRNA from 1 species